rnacentral:rRNA from 1 species
CAGUAGCCGCGGGAAUACAGAGGGUGCAAGCGUUAAUCGGAAUUACUGGGCGUAAAGCGCGCGUAGGUGGUUUGUUAAGUUGGAUGUGAAAUCCCCGGGCUCAACCUGGGAACUGCAUUCAAAACUGACUGACUAGAGUAUGGUAGAGGGUGGUGGAAUUUCCUGUGUAGCGGUGAAAUGCGUAGAUAUAGGAAGGAACACCAGUGGCGAAGGCGGCCCCCUGGACAAAGACUGACGCUCAGGUGCGAAAGCGUGGGGAGCAAACAGGAUUAGAUACCCCUGUAGUCCCUGUCUCUUAUAC